CCAUCUUCUCAUUACACGACCUUCAUCUCACAACCGGCUUCUCAGAAGACGAGUAGCGAUUAUGCUCAACAUCGUCGAUAUUUCACAACCAUCUGCUGCUAACAAAGUCGUCUAUUACUCCCCGGUCCUCUUUCUCAUUAAGGUUUUGUCGAAGAUUACUAAGGAAAAGUGUUAUGGGUCUUCUUUGUAGGAGAUUGAACAAGAGUAAAAGUGAUUCUAGUCUUGUGAAACUCCAAUGUAAUUGAAAAAUGGUCAAAAUGUGAACAAGGAUCCUACACUUUUUGGAUCUAUUCCAAAUACACCAUUACUUUUCUGAAUUUCCCAAUACACACUCCAGGAUCGGAUAAUCUCUCCACAUUACCUUCCAUUCACAUAUAUUUUGAAGAUUAUGUUGUGAUGAGAUCUUAGGGGAGACAAGAAACAAGGAUAGAUGCAGCCAUUGGUAAUACUCAUCAAUGACACUUUAUAGAUGCAAGUGUAUUGAGCUCGGACGACAAACUUAAAAUUUGUGAGCAACUCUGUAUUUUUCUGCUCCUAUUUUGUUCGCUACUUUGAUGUCUCUAUUCUUCUGUCUUGCGAGCUGCUUUAGUAAUGGGGCUGCUUACUAAGUGUUAAUUUUAUUUUUUCUUGGAUUGGG